GGUAGUUUCUUUUCACUAACUAUUCAUAUUGUUUUGACUCUAGUUUUACUGGAUUGCAGAGGUGGUUCGGGCAUGUGCAGAGGAGAAGUCCUGAUGCCCCGGUGAGGAGUUGUGAGUGUCUGGCGAUUGUCGGCGUUCGGCGAGGCAGAGGGAGGCCUAAGAAGUAUUGGGGAGAGGUGAUGCCGAUAUAUAAACUUUUGGGUUUCCCAUUUGAACACCUUUACUUGAGAAAAUGACACCUAAGAAGUAUUGGGGAGAGGUGAUUAGGCAUGGCAUGGCUAGAAUGCGGGUUUCCGAGGACAUGACCCUUGAUAGGAAUGUCUGGAGGUCUAGUAUCAGGGUCGUAGGAUAGGGGCUCAUAGAGUUUUUCGUACUCCUCUCCCGGGGUUGGGUGAGGCUUAGCAGGGCUAUCCAUAGAUGAUUUGUGUUUUGGCUUGUGUCUCNNNN
rnacentral:lncRNA from 1 species